UUUUCACUUUCAUCAUCAUGAUGUGAGUCUUUUCUGAGUUUCUUGUGCUGAAUUUUAAGUAUUUUCCCUAGCUUGUGGUUAGUACGGGCAACUGCAGAAGCUUUCAGAGUUGAUGAUGCUCCUGCCAAUGUUUUCUUUCUUCUGAUGGAAAACAAGAAGGAGAUUCUUCCAUUUUGCACACAGAUUCUCCAGUUCCAGGCUCAGUGGAGGCUGAGCUUAAUGAUAGAAAAAUUGGAAAGCUAUGCGAGUAUGCUUCUAAGAAUCCAUUAAGAAUUCCUAAGAUAAAUGAGAAUUUGGAGCAAAGAUGUUAUAAGGAUUUGCGUAAUGAAAUGUUUGGUUCAGUUAAAGUUGUCUUGUGCAUAUACAGGAAAUUCUUAUCGUUAUGUAUAUCAGAAUGGAGGUUUGCAAAUUGGUAGUUCUCAAGUUUUUGCACAAUAAAAAAGCUUAAAAGUUUGCAUUGAGGAAGUUAUUAGGAUAAAACACCUUGAACAUGUGAGGUUUAAUAAAUAUUCCCUAAAACACUUGGUGAGAGAAAC